rnacentral:rRNA from 1 species
AGAGUUUGAUCAUGGCUCAGGACGAACGCUGGCGGCGUGCCUAAUACAUGCAAGUCGAACGAACUCUGUAUUGAUUGGUGCUUGCAUCAUGAUUUACAUUUGAGUGAGUGGCGAACUGGUGAGUAACACGUGGGAAACCUGCCCAGAAGCGGGGGAUAACACCUGGAAACAGAUGCUAAUACCGCAUAACAACUUGGAUCGCAUGGUCCGAGUUUGAAAGAUGGCUUCGGCUAUCACUUUUGGAUGGUCCCGCGGCGUAUUAGCUAGAUGGUGGGGUAACGGCUCACCAUGGCAAUGAUACGUAGCCGACCUGAGAGGGUAAUCGGCCACAUUGGGACUGAGACACGGCCCAAACUCCUACGGGAGGCAGCAGUAGGGAAUCUUCCCCAAUGGACGAAAGUCUGAUGGAGCAACGCCGCGUGAGUGAAGAAGGGUUUCGGCUCGUAAAACUCUGUUGUUAAAGAAGAACAUAUCUGAGAGUAACUGUUCAGGUAUUGACGGUAUUUAACCAGAAAGCCACGGCUAACUACGUGCCAGCAGCCGCGGUAAUACGUAGGUGGCAAGCGUUGUCCGGAUUUAUUGGGCGUAAAGCGAGCGCAGGCGGUUUUUUAAGUCUGAUGUGAAAGCCUUCGG